rnacentral:rRNA from 1 species
CCUACGGGCGGCAGCAGUGGGGAAUAUUGCACAAUGGGCGAAACCCUGAUGCAGCGACGCCGCGUGAGUGAAGAAGGCCUUCGUUACGUAAAGCUCUAUCAGCAGGGAAGAAAAGUACCGUACCUGAGUAGGAGUCCCCGGCUAACUCCGUGCCAGCAGCCGCGGUCAUACGUCGGGGGCGAGCGUUAUCCGGAUUUACUGGGUGUAACGGGAGCGGAGACGGUGGGCCAAGUCUGGAGUGAAAUGCCGCAGCUUAACUGCGGAACUGCUUUGGAAACUGGGGAACUAGAGUGCGGGAGGGGUAAGUGGAAGUCCUAGUGUAGCGGUGAAAUGCGUAGAUAUUAGGAGGAACACCGGUGGCGAAGGCGGCUUACUGGACCGUAACUGACGUUGAGGCUCGAAAGCGUGGGGAGCAAACAGGAUUAGAUACCCGGGUAGUC